rnacentral:rRNA from 1 species
CCUACGGGAGGCAGCAGUGAGGAAUAUUGGUCAAUGGGCGUAAGCCUGAACCAGCCAAGUCGCGUGAGGGAUGAAGGUUCUAUGGAUCGUAAACCUCUUUUAUAAGGGAAUAAAGUGUGGGACGUGUCCUGUUUUGUAUGUACCUUAUGAAUAAGGAUCGGCUAACUCCGUGCCAGCAGCCGCGGUAAUACGGAGGAUCCGAGCGUUAUCCGGAUUUAUUGGGUUUAAAGGGUGCGUAGGCGGCCUUUUAAGUCAGCGGUGAAAGUCUGUGGCUCAACCAUAGAAUUGCAUUUGAAACUGGGAGGCUUGAGUAUGUUUGAGGCAGGCGGAAUGCGUGGUGUAGCGGUGAAAUGCUUAGAUAGCACGCAGAACCCCGAUUGCGAAGGCAGCCUGCCAAGCCAUGACUGACGCUGAUGCACGAAAGCGUGGGGAUCAAACAGGAUUAGAGACCCGUGUAGUC